UCUGAAUAUUCCUGCAGAAAUACUGGAGUUUUGAGGGUGCUGCGCCCCUCCCCUGACUCAGGCAAUGGCAAGGCCCUACUGAGGUGGAUGGCGCAAGGCGUCCAUCCUCUGGAGGAGCGCAGUAUGUUUCUGGGAAUGGGCUGGUUUGUUUUUGUAUUCCUUUAAUAAGUAUAGUGGCGACUUCUCAUAUGACCAUUAAGUAUGAAGGAAAAAACAUGACUUUCCCAACUAAUGCAACUACUUCUAAAGAAUAGAUCUGUUUGCUCUAAAUGCAAUGAUUCAGCUGUGGAGUGUAAAUUGUUAAUGUCU
rnacentral:lncRNA from 1 species